AGAUUGAACGCUGGCGGAAUGCUUUACACAUGCAAGUCGAGCGGCAGCGCGGGGCAACCUGGCGGCGAGCGGCGAACGGGGUGAGUAAUGCAUCGGAACAUGUCCAUUCGUGGGGGAUAGCCCGGCGAAAGCCGGAUUAAUACCGCAUACGCCCUUAGGGGGAAAGCCGGGGACCGCAAGGCCUGGCGCGAAUGGGUUGGCCGAUGCCCGAUUAGCUAGUUGGCGGGGUAAUGGCCCACAAGGCGAUGAUCGGUCGCUGGUCUGAGAGGAUGAUCAGCCACACUGGGACUGAGACACGCCAGACCUCUACGGGAGCAGCAGUGGGAAUUUGGACAGUGGGCACCGUGAUCCAGUCCAUUCCGCGUGAGUAGAAGAACGGCGUUUAGGGUUGUAAAGUCUUCGUUUCGUACCGGUAACGAACGGUUGUCGGUAGUAACGUAG
rnacentral:rRNA from 1 species